UAUACAUUUAACCUGAUUAGCCAGCAUUCUAAUACUUUCUAAGUUCUAUGGUUAUUUCUACAGGAUAAAGGAGUUGGCUAUUGGCGCUUUGCUUGUGUUUUAGCUUUCCCUUGGAGGCCUAUCUUGUCUGCCACAGGCUACACAGAGUAUUACUAUGAUGUUGAAUCUGGAAAAAUAUGCAGGCACGUUGAGCAUUGGAAUGUUCCAAAAAUGGUUCUGUUGAAGCAAAUUUUCAAGCCGAACCCAGGGUUAUGGCGUAAAUGAAAUGACUCUUGUGGAUCUGAUGGACAUAUCCUGUAUAUAAAAAAACCAUCCACUAAUGUAACUCUAUGUAUAACAAUACAGCACUGAAUUUUAUUACUAUAGAAACAAAUGGAGAAGGCUUCAUUAGACUCUGACAAUGUAUAAGCUUAAACUUAAAGGAGACCCGAUUUUAUGAUUUUCGAGCUAAUACAGUACUCUUGCGGUCAUCAACUAAAAAUUCAUAUUCAGGCUCGUAGCCUCCCUCUUAUUUCUUAUAUUUGUAAGAGCAAGAUAUAGAAAAUUUAAUAAGCAUAUAGGAGAAUGUCCGUUGCCCUCUUUCA